rnacentral:rRNA from 1 species
UACGAAGGGGGGCUAGCGUUGCUCGGAAUGACUGGGCGUAAAGGGCGCGUAGGCGGCUCAUACAGUCAGAUGUGAAAUUCCUGGGCUUAACCUGGGGGCUGCAUUUGAUACGUGUGGGCUUGAGUGGGGAAGAGGGUCGUGGAAUUCCCAGUGUAGAGGUGAAAUUCGUAGAUAUUCGGAGGAACACCAGAAGCGAAGGCGGCCAACUGGCCCGAUACUGACGCUGAGGCGCGAAAGCGUGGGGAGCAAACAGG